rnacentral:rRNA from 1 species
GUAGGUGGCAAGCGUUGUCCGGAAUUAUUGGGCGUAAAGCGCGCGCAGGCGGUCCUUUAAGUCUGAUGUGAAAGCCCACGGCUCAACCGUGGAGGGUCAUUGGAAACUGGGGGACUUGAGUACAGAAGAGGAAAGCGGAAUUCCAAGUGUAGCGGUGAAAUGCGUAGAGAUUUGGAGGAACACCAGUGGCGAAGGCGGCUUUCUGGUCUGUAACUGACGCUGAGGCGCGAAAGCGUGGGAGCAAACAGGGAUUAGAUACCCUGGUAGUCCACGCCGUAAACGAUGAGUGCUAAGUGUUAGGGGGUUUCCCGCCCCUUAGUGCUGCAGCUAACGCAUUAAGCACUCCGCCUGGGGAGUACGGCCGCAAGGCUG